UUAAUGAUAUUGAUCGGAAAAGUAGUUUUUAAUAAACUUCAAGAGAGGGUUUGUCACUGGCUGAAAGCAAACCUAAGAUUUAUUAGAAAUGAAAUGCAUCCGUGAAUCGGUAGGCUGAAAUUAGUAGGCUUACCCGGCUGGUAGCGUUAUAUACUUAGAAAGUGGAGUAAUUUUAUUACUCAAACAGAGUGGGACCACGAAGCCUUUCGUCUCUGAA
rnacentral:ncRNA from 1 species